UUAUCUGUGGGUAUUAUCCUUGCUGCGGUGU
rnacentral:piRNA from 1 species